rnacentral:rRNA from 1 species
GGGCAUCGGGGAACCCUUUUUCCCGGGGGGGGGCUGCGGAAGGAUCAUUACCGAGUUGCGGGGUCCUUUGGGCCCAACCUCCCAUCCGUGUCUAUUAUACCCUGUUGCUUCGGCGGGCCCGCCGCUUGUCGGCCGCCGGGGGGGCGCCUUUGCCCCCCGGGCCCGUGCCCGCCGGAGACCCCAACACGAACACUGUCUGAAAGCGUGCAGUCUGAGUUGAUUGAAUGCAAUCAGUUAAAACUUUCAACAAUGGAUCUCUUGGUUCCGGCAUCGAUGAAGAACGCAGCGAAAUGCGAUAACUAAUGUGAAUUGCAGAAUUCAGUGAAUCAUCGAGUCUUUGAACGCACAUUGCGCCCCCUGGUAUUCCGGGGGGCAUGCCUGUCCGAGCGUCAUUGCUGCCCUCAAGCCCGGCUUGUGUGUUGGGUCGCCGUCCCCCUCUCCGGGGGGACGGGCCCGAAAGGCAGCGGCGGCACCGCGUCCGAUCCUCGAGCGUAUGGGGCUUUGUCACAUGCUCUGUAGGAUUGGCCGGCGCCUGCCGACGUUUUCCAACCAUUUUUUCCAGGUUGACCUCGGAUCAGGUAGGGAUUCCCGCUGAUCUUAAGCAUACAAAGGGCGGGAAAAAAAACAUUACCCG